rnacentral:rRNA from 1 species
GUAAGUAAAGUGGCGCACGGGUGAGUAGCGCGUGGGUAAUCUGCCCUGAAGUUGGGAAUAACACCUCGAAAGGGGUGCUAAUACCGAAUGAUAUCCCCGGGAUUCCGGUCCUGGAGAUCAAAGAUGGCUGAGGCUUGCAAGCCAUCGCUUUAGGAUGAGCCCGCGUACCAUUAGCUAGUUGGUGGGGUAACGGCCCACCAAGGCCAUGAUGGUUAGCUGGUCUGAGAGGAUGGCCAGCCACACUGGAACUGAGAUACGGUCCAGACUCCUACGGGAGGCAGCAGUGAGGAAUCUUGCGCAAUGGGGGAAACCCUGACGCAGCAACGCCGCGUGAGUGAUGAAGGCCUUCGGGUCGUAAAGCUCUGUCAGAUGGGAAGAAAGUUUCGGCGGUGAACAAUCGCCGGGAUUGACGGUACCGUCAGAGGAAGCACCGGCUAACUCCGUGCCAGCAGCCGCGGUAAUACGGAGGGUGCAAGCGUUGUUCGGAAUCAUUGGGCGUAAAGAGCGUGUAGGCGGUCGGGUAAGUCAGAUGUGAAAUCCCUUGGCUUAACCAAGGAAGUGCAUUUGAAACUGCCCGGCUUGAGUACGGGAGGGGGAAGUGGAAUUCCCGGUGUAGAGGUGAAAUUCGUAGAUAUCGGGAGGAACACCGGUGGCGAAGGCGGCUUCCUGGACCGAUACUGACGCUGAGACGCGAAAGCGUGGGGAGCAAACAGGAUUAGAUACCCUGGUAGUCCACGCCGUAAACUUUGGGCACUUGGUGUUGCGGGUAUUGACCCCUGCAGUGCCGAAGCUAACGCAUUAAGUGCCCCGCCUGGGGAGUACGGCCGCAAGGUUAAAACUCAAAGGAAUUGACGG